CACUUCUGCAGCAAGUAUAUUAACUGAAUUGGAACAAUACAGAGAAGACAAGCACGGCCCCUGCACAAAGUUGACACACCACCUUGUGCAGCGUUCAUGUUUUAU